GUGGGGAAUAUUGGGCAAUGGGGGCAACCCUGACCCAGCGACGCCGCGUGGGUGAAGAAAUCCCUCGGGAUGUAAAGCCCUGUUGUAUGGGAAGAGCAGAAGACGGUACCAUACGAGGAAGCCCCGGCAAACUACGUGCCAGCAGCCGCGGUAAUACGUAGGGGGCAAGCGUUGUCCGGAAUUACUGGGCGUAAAGCGCACGCAGGCUGAAUUAUAAGUCGGUAGUCAAAUACGGAGGCUCAACUUCCGGAUAUCUAUCGAUACUGUAAAUCUAGAGUAUGUGAGAGGGAAGCGGAAUUCCCGGUGUAGCGGUGAAAUGUGUAGAUAUCGGGAGGAACACCAGUGGCGAAGGCGGCUUCCUGGCACAAUACUGACGCUCAUGUGCGAAAGCUAGGGCAGCGAACGGGAUUAGAUACCCGUGUAGUCC
rnacentral:rRNA from 1 species